ACAGCAGGAGGGAGGAGGCGAACAGCGCCGCGACGCACAGAACCGUCUGGAGACGCAUCGUGAAGAAGAGAGGAGUUCUGGUCCAGAAGUUCUAAACGAGCUCCUGACUGAGGAGUUAACGUCUGAACGUUCUCCAGCUGUAACUGAACACUGAUGCUGCUGCACUUUGUCUUUGACCUGCUGUCAGCUGAUGCUGCUGUUCAACCAUCGAUUUUUCCAGUAACAGAGACAAAGUUCAAUACAGUGACGGAAGAGUUCAGCUGGUCUGAAGCCUCACAUCAAACAAAGAGCUAAAAGUCAGGGAUGUUUUACAGGAACGUAUGUUUAAGAAACAUCCACAAUAACACUUUAAUACCAACCAUUUUAUUGCUGUGCAUGAUUUGUUGUAGGUUUUGAUUCAUAUGUGACCGUGCAGAAUAAAAGUGUCGUGGAUGUUGCUCUUAUUAACACCAAUAUUCUACAUUUCAAAUGAAAGGAAUCCUCCUGGUGCUUCCUUUAAAGAUGAAAUAUGAUCUGAAUAUUUAUAUAUUAAGCAUCAAUUAAAAAUAUUUUAUUAACUACACCAAAAAAUCUAGCAUUUAAAUUUUCUUUGCUCCACGAUUUCACUAUUAAAUUCACAGUUUAAUUUAAAAAUGAAUAAAACAAAUCUCUACUUAAAACCUGUAGAUCUGAGUUAAUUACUCUCCUUUUCUUGUGAAGCUCAUGGUUCCAUUUCACCACCUAAUUAUUAAAAUUGUGUUAAAAACAA